rnacentral:rRNA from 1 species
GACGAACGCUGGCGGCGUGCCUAAUACAUGCAAGUAGAACGCCGUUGCGAACGGGUGUGUAAAGCGUAUGUAACCUUCCUUGUAGCCGGGGGAAACUAUUUGAAACGCUAUCUAAUACCGCAUACUUUAAGAUGUACCUGCUUUGUUUUAGUUAGUUGGUUAGGUAAAGGCUCACCAAGGCGACGAUACCUAGCCGACCUGCGAGGGUGAGCGGGCACACUGGGACUGAGACCAGGCCCAGACUCCUACGGGAGGCAGCAGUAGGGAAUCUUCGGAAAUGGACCGAAGUCUGAACGAGCAACGGCGCGUGAGUGAAGAAGGUUUUCGGAGCGUAAAGCUCUGUUGUUAGAGAAGCGUUAACUAACGAGAAAGCGACGGCUAACUACGUGCCAGCAGCCGCGGUAAUUC